CGUGCUCACGCGCGCGACACGGCCGAGUCCAACCCGACGCGCGCGCUGCCCUCUUCCUGUACCAAGAUGGCCGCCCACCGCUUCACCCCACCCCCGGUGACGUCACGCGCCGACGCGCUCUCUCCACCUCCCUCUCUCGCGUCUUCUGCUCCUCCUCCUCCUUGUUGUUGUUGUUGCCCCCCCACCAAACCUGACGGGCUUGGCUUUUGUAAAUCGUAGCACGUACAAGCGAGCCGUGCUCGCUAUUGGUUGAUGGUGUCCUUGUUAUAUUCUUGGUUCUUUCGGUAAAGUCACCACGUAGAAUGAGAAUAAAAAAAUAAAUAACACAAUAAAAUUAUCACGACGUUUCGACUGCAACACAAGCAAUCAUCAUCAGAGACGCUUCGAACCUUUGAAUUAACCAACGACACCGCGCUGCGAGGAAAGUACAGGUGCUGGGGCUUCUUGGGGUGCAGCUCGGGGCGGCUGCCGUUCCCUGAGCAGGGACAGCCGACGCAGCAGUCGUUUUGAGGCAGUGCGCUUGAACGUCGAUGGCUCGCGUGUCCCUUCGGCCACACUCGAGCCC